AGCGAACGCUGGCGGCAGGCCUAACACAUGCAAGUCGAACGAACCUUUCGGGGUUAGUGGCGGACGGGUGAGUAACACGUGGGAACGUGCCUUUAGGUUCGGAAUAACUCAGGGAAACUUGUGCUAAUACCGAAUGUGCCCUUCGGGGGAAAGAUUUAUCGCCUUUAGAGCGGCCCGCGUCUGAUUAGCUAGUUGGUUGAGGUAAUGGCUCACCAAGGCGACGAUCAGUAGCUGGUCUGAGAGGAUGAUCAGCCACAUUGGGACUGAGACACGGCCCAAACAGCGGGGGGCGGCAGGGGGGAGGAAGCGCGCGACCGGACCACAUCCCGGACGCAGCAGUGCCGCGUGUAUCAGAAGGGUCGGAGGCUUGAAAAAUUCUUGCCGCGGGAACGAUGAAGACGGUACGCGGAGAAGAUCCCUCGGCUGGCGACGAGCCUGCGGGCGCGUGAAUAGUAAGACCAGCCUCCCCUCAUC
rnacentral:rRNA from 1 species